rnacentral:rRNA from 1 species
UACGGGGGGGGCUAGCGUUGUUCGGAAUUAUUGGGCGUAAAGGGCGCGUAGGCGGAUUGUUAAGUCAGUUGUGAAAUCCCUCGGCUCAACCUGGGAAGUGCUUUUGAUACUGCUGGUCUAGAGUCCGGGAGAGGUGAGUGGAACUCUGGGUGUAGAGGUGAAAUGCGUAGAUAUCCGCAGGAACACCAGUGGCGAAGGCGGCUUACUGGCCCGGAACUGACGCUGAGGUGCGAAAGCGUGGGGAGCAAACAGG